UUCUGGAAGGAUUCACAGUUUGAGAGCUCUUUCUUGAUUCAGUGGAUGGUGGUGCAUGUCCGUUGUUAGUUGACGGAGCUAUCUGUCCGGUUAAUUCCGAUAACGAACGAGAUUCUAACCUAUUAACUGGGUGCGUGGUUCUCUGCACCUUGCAGCGUUCCUAGAGGCACAAGCGGCUUCUAGCCGCACGAAACAGAGCAAUAACAGGUCUGCGAUGCCCAUAGAU
rnacentral:rRNA from 1 species